rnacentral:rRNA from 1 species
GAUGAACGCUGGCGGCGUGCCUAAUACAUGCAAGUAGAACGCUGAAGGAAGGAGCUUGCUCUUUCCGGAUGAGUUGCGAACGGGUGAGUAACGCGUAGGUAACCUGCCUGGUAGCGGGGGAUAACUAUUGGAAACGAUAGCUAAUACCGCAUAACAGUAGAUGUUGCAUGAUAUCUACUUAAAAGGUGCAAUUGCACCACUACCAGAUGGACCUGCGUUGUAUUAGCUAGUUGGUGAGGUAACGGCUCACCAAGGCGAAGAUACAUAGCCGACCUGAGAGGGGGGUCGGCCACAACGGGACUGAGAAACGGCCCAGAAUCCCACGGGAGGCAGCAGGAGGGAAUCUUCGGCAAUGGACGGAAGGCUGAACGAGGAACGCCGCGGGAGGGAAGAAGGGUUUCGGAUCGGAAAGCUCGGUUGUAAGAGAAGAACGAGUGUGAGAGUGGAAAGUUCACACUGUGACGGUAUCUUACCAGAAAGGGACGGCUAACUACGUG